UUUUAUUAGAAAUAAUUAAUAAUACAAUCUGCUCAAUGUAAAUAUAAAUUGCCGCAAUUUAUUAUUGUGCUAAGGUAGCAUAAUCAUUCGCUUUUUAAUUGAAAACUAGAACAAAAGAUUUCACAAUUAAAUAAUUUUCUUUAAUUUAUAAAUUUAAAUUUCCUAAAUGUAAAAAAACAUUUAUAUAAAAGAAAGACGACAAGACCCUAUCAAACUUAACUCAAGUUAAACUGGGGCAGUUAAUUAAUUAAUACUUUAAAACAACAAUAUAUAAAAAAGACCUAAUAAAAUUAACAUAUUAAUCAAUGUUACUGUAGGGAUAACAGCAUAAUAUUUAUUUAAAGUCCUUAUAAAAAUAAAUGAUUAUGACCUCGAUGUUGAAUAAUUCCCUAUACUUAAGCAAAAUUAUAUUAAGGAAGUCUGUUCGACUUUUAAUCAAUUACA
rnacentral:rRNA from 1 species